GCAUCACGCAGGCUCUGUUAAGGGUGCUGGCUCUGUUAAGGGUGCUUAAACCGCUUGUGACCUGCACAUGUUUGGAUCAUUCACCGUCUCGGGAGCCCGUGGCGGUGUCGGUUGGUGAGAGGCUGGCUGGCUGAAAGAGCUGGUACCGGGAGAGCAUUAGGCAGAGAUUAGUGGUGUUUGUGGUGCGCCGUGGCGUGCCACCCCCGGCCCCCCAGCGGCGUGGUGCUCCGGUGGCAGCCGACCGUAACCUCUGGUGCCAGGGAUCAGAACCGUGCUGGGCGGACCGGGUGUGUUACAGCCCUGCUGAAGGGGUGGCCGCCGUGGGGCGCAACCAUGUGCUGGCUUCGGUACCGCAGCGGCACCGGCCUCGAUUAGAGAGCUUUGCAGUUAACUUCCGAAACAGUAGGUACCUACCCCGUGGUCCCGUUGAGUGACAACAUUUUAUUUUCAACCGUUCCGCGCGCUACCUCCAAAAUGGUCAGAGAAGAACCAGAAGACAUUUCCUGUCUGGAAAGUUCCUAAGUGUUGUUUUUUUACCAAGUGCUCAUGAGUGAAAUCUGCCUCUUAAGCAGGAGGUUCGUAGAGGUCUUAUAACAAAUGUGUUCUGCUGAUCCAUGGUCCACGUGGCUCACAGGUCGCCACAACCAGCUGCAUCGCGUUACCUCUAAAGAUGGUUGAUUUAAGAAAAAUUGGAGCAAUUUAAUGGGUGAGUCCAUUUAUAAAGGCGCUGAAUUGACCUUGUUCCUCGAGGAAAACCCAUAUUUGAUAAGUAUCCAAACUCUGUUUGCGCCACGGCGCAUCACAACCACCCCAUUAGACAUUAGAGUCUUUGCAGAUCUAGAGUUUUGUUUUUCCUUCAAUACCUCGCCUCAGAGGGGAGGCCACUAGAGAUGAGGACAGACAUCGCCGUGAUGAGGCCUGUGGCCAGGGCUGAGGGUGGGCUUGGACCUGCCAUGGUGAUACAAGGUCUCCAGACCGUGUGAUCGUGUACUUUGGGGGGGAGCCUGGACUAGACUGUGACCCAGCAUUUUGUUUUUGUUUGUUUCACCAGACUAAAGAAGGCAGAGGAGUGUUUCCGACAAGCCAAGGAAAAAGCUACCUACAGUGUGAAACCCAAGCAUGCAUCGGGGAUUAAAGCCAAGCUGGGCAUGAAGAUAUGAGACUGUUGUUUUCCUGAAUUCCUCGCCAGGAGAGAGAGAGAGAACGUGAUGUAAUGGUUGGUGAACAACAAAGCCAAGUUGGAGAGCAUGUGUUGCUGCAGACAAAGCACUAAGGCUUAAAAACUAAAACAAUAUGCCUCAUAAUAGGCAAACUUUUUGAAAUAGGGCACUACUUUUGACCUGGAUCUGUAGGGCUCUGGUUGAAAGUAGGCCACUAUUUCAGAGACAGGGUUCCAUUUGGGGCGUUGAAGACAUUUCACAUUUUACCCCAAACAAGAGUCAGCCUCCUGUUGGCUAGCCUGCUCUGUGAAUCUGCUUGCUCAACAGUCUUCUACCAUAUAUCACCCCCCCCCGCCUCAAUAUCCCAUCACGAAGAGGAGAGAAAUGUCAAUGGGUCAAAGGUUAUGUGAUGUCAUCACCUCACUGGAACUUCUACCAGUGAUUGGUCAAAGGAGUUGUCUAUGAUCAGCCUAGAAAUAGAGCAUUAAGAAUGGUCUUUCCCAUGUCCAAACAUGUUUAUAUGGCGAGGAAUACCCUGUCUAUGCUCCAAGGAGAAAACCGAGCUGUCCUUUGUCUUCAUUGCAUGUGCAGUUUCAAGGCCUGCGAUCAUGACACACCUCACCUCUUGCAGUAUUCCAGCGCAUUACAACACGUGUUUUACAAAGCAAUAUCACUUGAGGCACAUGGGAGACGUGAGAAGACCGCGUGAUUGGUGUCGGCUCUGCGACAGGCGUGGUUUGUGAACAGCCGGGGACAACACGGCCCGCCCUAUUCCCAUGUCAGUCGCGUUGAACUAUGAAGGGAACGGUAUGCCGUUUGGGGCGCUGUGCCUGUGAGGACGGCCGGCUACAGUACCAUCAACAUGUUGUCAACGGGGAAUAGUGUUGUUGUUGUUGUUCAGUCACUCAGAUGUUCGUCAUAAUACAUGCCUUUAAUCCCAAACUAAAACCACAGUUUUCCCAACAAGCGUUUUAAAUUGAAAUGUGGUGACAAGUUUUUUGGGGGCUGGGUAACGAACGGGGAGAUCGUUUUGUUUAGUCCAAGUCUAUACUGUAUCGGCUUGGAUUUUCUUUAAUCAACAGAAUAACCCCUGUAUUUAGAUAUCCCAUGUGAAGCUGAAGCAGAUUGCUGCGGAGAAGAGCUUGCUGUGUCCGUGCUGGUCGGUAAAGAGAGAGCACUAAGCUCUGUGGCUCUGUGGUGACUUCUGUUCCGGGGGGAUGGGGAUCUGGAAGGCGUUCCUAGCUACCUGACGCAACCAGCACUUCAAAUACCUAGAGAUUUUUGGAUAGGCCAAUAGUUUUUUUUGUAUUGGCCAAAAUGAAUGCCAAUGUGGUAUAAAUUGUAAAUGACUAAUUUAUUCUGUUUUAACUCGCCUGGAGUAUGAUGACGUGACACCUCAUGUAUGUGUGAGGACAGAUAAUGGGG
ensembl:lncRNA